rnacentral:rRNA from 1 species
UACGAAGGGGGCUAGCGUUGCUCGGAAUCACUGGGCGUAAAGCGCACGUAGGCGGCUUGUUAAGUCAGGGGUGAAAUCUUGGAGCUCAACUCCAGAACUGCCUUUGAUACUGGCGAGCUUGAGUUCGGGAGAGGUGAGUGGAACUGCGAGUGUAGAGGUGAAAUUCGUAGAUAUUCGCAAGAACACCAGUGGCGAAGGCGGCUCACUGGCCCGAUACUGACGCUGAGGUGCGAAAGCGUGGGGAGCAAACAGG